CUAAUUUCUUUUCUCUCUACCCGCUGCCCUUGAAUCCCCUUCCUCAUCCAUUCUCUCUGCACACCAUAAUCGCCGCCACCCAAGCUCACCCUAAUCCCUUCGAUUCUCGCCGAUUUCUAUAGCUUCUCAAGACAUGAAACCCUCAAACUCACCUCCUAUCGUUCUUUUGUGCUUGGUGUUUGAAGGUUUGAGGCUAGACCUCAAAGGUCUCCACCCAGAUCUCCACAGACUUGAGAUUUCUGGUCAUCUCCGUCCUGGCUCAGACAUAUCUUAGCCUCCUGAACCUAUUUCUAGUCUUAUCUGACUUAAUCGGACAUUUUCAAAGUCUUUCUUGUUCUAGGGUUCGCCUGAAACCCUAGCUAUUCAAGGUUUUUUCUUCUCCGAUUCUCCUCAGAUCUGUGUGUAUUCAUGCUUUACUUUGAGUUUUUAAAAGGUUUCCCCAACUUUUUUUAUAAAAUUCUUUUUCUUUCAAAGUCAUUUCUUAAUGAUUUAGGUUUUUAGAAAUGCUUAUGUGUUUUUCGAUUUUUCUUCUCCCUUUCGUGUAUGUUUGUCUCUGCCAUGUUCAUAUGUUUACUUCUUUUUUUACACAUGUUCUUCCACUACGUUUGCUAUAUUUUGUUCUACCUUCUACUAUGUUUCAGUGCUAUGUUUUUCAUAUGCUAUGUUUCUGUGCUAUGUUUUCACAUGCUAUGUUCUGCAACUUGUCUUCCACCACGACAUGAUAAGCUUCGCCUACUGUAUUUUCCUACCAUGUUCAUUAAUUGCUCUUACUAUGCCUGCUUAAGCAUAAUUUCAUCUACUAUUCUUCUACUCCCAUUGUAUUUCGAAUUAAUUCCUUAACUCUGUUUGCAUUAAACCUUCUACUGUAUCUGCUUGUUUCCUUUUCUUCGCAUUUGAUUCAAGUCAAAAACCCUAAGAUUUGGGGUUUUUGGCGAGUUUGGUCUUGUGUGUUUGGACUAGGGUUCUAUUUGAGGCCUGGACUCUCUCUAACUCACUUUGGAUCUACAUACUGAGUUUGAAUCCUUUUGCGUAUGAAUUCUACUAUACUAGGCUCCUCUGAUUAGAAUGAAAACCCUUGCAAAUGUGUUAAAAUCUUCAUUCAAAAGGUCUUCCAACUUGUGUUCAAAUCAGAAUCCUUUUUUCUGGGUUAAUUGAUUGCUAUUGAUUCUUCUUAAAUUAAACCUUUUCCACCUUUCUAGCUUGGUUCAUUGAUACAAAUCUUUGAUUCCUGAUUUCUUGGUUGAUUUUCUUUCCUUAUUUGUUUAACCAUAUGUUUUAAAAUUUCUUGCCUUAAAUAAUCUUUAUAUAUUUACCCCUAAUUGCCUACCUUGAACAAGAUGCUUACUUAAUCUCUUUCCUUAAAUAUUCUUUUGUUCAUUAGCGUUUAAGUUUGAACUCCUUAAUUAAAGAAAGUUCUUCUGCUAAUUAAUUCUAAUUGGUAUAUGGUAAUUUCCUUGCCUUAUUCCCUACCUGAUAUCAAACUAUAAAUACCUGCUCUUUUAUUAACACAGAUACCAAUACUCGUAGUUUUCUGAACUCACUCUUACACUCAAAAAGUAUUCUCUUUGUUGCAUGUAUUGUGGCUUCUUUGCAAGAUUUCUGCUUUCUUUUGCUUAUCUCUUUCUGAAACCAGUAUGUCCUAGUUUAAUUCGAGCAUCAACUCUAAUGUAUUUACUUACCAGUUCUUAUGUCCAUGCUUACUUUACUGCCUGUAGAAUAUAACUUUGUGGUAAUGUGCUUAUGUCUUUCAAUAAAUCCCUUUCCCAUAUCCCUCUAUGUAUUUGAACUGUAGUUUAAAAAUGGAAAUAUACAAGGUUAUUGUCCAUGGAUAUAAACUGGAUCCUUGGGGUCCUAAGCUCUUUCCAUUUCCCAAAACAUAUUUCCUUAUAUGUGUUCAAGUUAAGAUUUAGCCUGGCAGCAUCCAAAAUGAUGUCUGGGGCUGAAUCUGACCUUCAAUAGGUUCUUACUCUCUAAAUCUUUUAGCCACCAUGGUGUUCAAGGGUGUGCUAACAGUCCAGUUGCUGGGCAUGACCACUAGCCUGCUUGGCAAUCCCUAAUUCCCUCUAUUGCACUUACACCUACUCUUAAACUCUAAGUUCUACCCCCCCCCCUUCUAUGAGCCUUGCCUUGGGACUUUCUGAACUUUGACAUUGGAGGUCUGGCACUUCCACACUGCACUCUAAUUCAAUUAUGUAAUGAUAUCUGGGUGUAAGGAUUGCCUGGAGUUCUUGAAACUCCUUGGAACUUUGACACACUCCAGAUAAGAGGGAUGUUUUGGAACCCGAUCCCGGAAUUUGGUUCAUCUCAUAUUAUUAGACCUUGAGUAUGAAUUAGGCACCUUGGAUGUAGCUUAAAUUUCUUUAUAUAAUUCUAUUUUCUAUUUGAUUCACUUAGUCUGUAAUAAUUUGUAAUAACUUAUGGGGUUUUAGUAAAGAAAAGGGAAGGGCCA
rnacentral:lncRNA from 1 species